AAAUUCAAAGCCACAAAUAUAACAAUAUUGAAGUCAUGGAACAUCAACUCACACUUUUCUCUACCUCUGAUAGAGCUACGAAAUUUCACAGAGAGAUGAAGAAGAGGCUAAAACUUUGGAUAACAAUUAAAUAGAGCAACGGCAGAGAAGUCCAACUAGCUGGUAUGUUCCUUAGUAGAUUGGUAUGUCCCUAACGUUGAUGCUAUAACUACAUCCACAUUUUCUAUUAGAAACCAAAUAAUUCCAUCAUAUUCGAAUAUUAAAAUUCUACAAAUUGCCAAAAUGGUUUAAAUUGUGUCCAGAAAUCUCCAGCUUGAAAGGUAAUGAGUGGAGAAGAAUUCAACAUCUCCACUGUAGUGUUGCCUUCACGGGUUCAACGGUCAGUAGGAAAAUGAUCCAUCAAGCUCUUACAUAUGCUCCAUAUUAUGAGGCUUGGAUAAUGAAGGGAUAUAGCCCCAGCGGACAAGAUUGUCCAAUUUCUGCAGUGACCCAUUACCUGGACGUAAGUAUCAUAGGUUGCAAAGAAUGGUAAUUUUUUGCUCAAUGUUGAUGGAUGGGAACUAGUCUUUUACAAUCUAUAUUUAGUAACACACAUCAACACCGAUCCAUAUUUCAGCCGCAAGAUGAACUCCAAAUUCCCAAAUAGUAACUACUAACUAGAAGGAUCUGCAAUUGAGAACACAUUCACACCGCCAUGAGGAAAGAGAAGCCAGGCUUGCUUUCCUUGUUAUUUUCUUUUAUAAAUGGAGUUCUUAUAUAGAAUUUUAUCUAAUAUACAUAUCCUUUUGACCACCUACGCCCGAUAUAUAGUCUCUCACGACCAAUCCUACUGCCUAACAGAAUCAGACACUGUACCCGAGAAACCAUCUCUCUCUCCUUUGGUUUUUAAUUUCCUGUACAUGGAUCUCUCCGUUUGGCACAAAGCCUUUCACAGCUUUAGUACAUCUUUGUCAUACCAUAUUGAACAGUCCCAACUUUUCUGUGAGAAGCCGCCACAGUUGCAGCAGUGCCGAUCGCACUGUACUGAGCCUUGGCAUGCAACAAGUUUGUAUUGAUUGUAAUUCGGUCAUCAACUUGUUCCACCCUAUUCACUCCUGCCCGGGUCAGAAAAAAAGGGUUGGAGUCAAUGUUGAUAGCUAUAUCUGGCGCAAAUUUUGUUGUUAUGCCACGUUGCUGGACUUGCUUUUGUGAAGAACUCAGAUUUUCCAAGGCGGAUCUCUCUUGCUUCCCUGUGCUAGAUUUGCGAUAACCAUAUGCAGAAGGGACACCCUGAGCAGGAAGUAAUGAGCCUCUGACAAAAGUUCUUGGGUCAUAGGCAUCUUUCAUGAUACUUCCCUUGUCGCAUGGAACAACUGACCCCGCAACUUUUCCCGGUUUAGCUAGUGGAAUUCUUUGUGGUGCCUGCAGGGUUGAUAUAUUUACAUGAGUUCCAUCAGAAUAUCGGGAAGUUUUGUUGUAUGUUUCCUCAGCAGACUGUCGAUCUCUUAAGCAAGCAAUGGUCUGUUCUCUGGGAGGAAUUGUGUUUGAAUGUAUAAUUGUAGACCUAGGAAGAGAUACGUGCUUUCUUUCAAGUGGAAUUACUGGCCCACUUUUACCACCAUUUUCCUCAAGAUGUGCAAACUGCCUUCUAAAUUGAUCAAUGGCACUUGGAUAAAGAAAGUUAGUCCUCUCUGUUCCAUUUAUGUAGUCCUUGAGCAAUUGAGGAUGGUAUUCCAGUAUCUCUCGAAAAAUUAGCUCUCGCACGUCCUCCUUUGUAACCCUUCGCCUCUCAAACUCAAACUCUAUCUUUGUUAUUGGUUGACAAGACAGCUCCCUCUCAACUUUUGCCAGCCCCUUGAAGUAAGGAUCUGCUAGCGCCUCUUCAGCCGUUGGCCGGUCUUUUGGAUCAAAAGCAAGUAGCCUUUCCAAUAGACGCAACGCCAAUGGAUCAGUAUUUGGAAAUUUCUGAGCUAAUGGCACGGCCUGCUUUUUCCUCAUGGUAGUUAAAUAUCUCCUUGCCUUAUCAUUUCGAACCCGUGAUAUUGUAUCUAAUGAUGGGGUACCAAGCAGAUCUGUCAUCAAAUCCAGUUGAUGAACAACAUUUUUGCCAGGAAAAAGUGGUUUCCCUGUUAGUACUUCAGCAAAGAUGCAGCCUAUACUCCAUAUAUCAAUUGCUGGUGUAUACUUAGAGAAAAAUGAUCCACAAAGUUCAGGAGCUCUAUACCAUCGUGUCGCAACAUAGUCCGUCCAAAAUAUUGUUGAGGGGGUAUCACUGAAAGCAACUCUUGCUAGCCCAAAAUCACAAAUUUUAAGUUUACAGUUCGCAUUUGCCAAUAUAUUCUUAGGUUUUAAAUCUCGAUGAUAGACAUUCGCUGUGUGGAUAUACUUUAAUGCACGAAGAAGCUGGUAAAGAAAAAACUGAUAGUGCUCUCGUGUCAAGUCAUCAUUGGCUUUAAUGACUUGAUGUAGAUCUGACUCCAUCAGCUCGAAAACAACAUAUAUAUCUUUAAAAUCCCUUCCUGAAGGUGGAAGCAUAAUAUGUUUAAUUUCUACAAUAUCAGGGUGCCUUAGGAGUCUAAGCAGCUUUAUUUCACGAAGAAUGCGAGCAGCAUCUGAAAUGUGUUCAAAAAUAUCAUGUAUUUUCUUUAUUGCCACUUUUUCACCAGUGUGAGUGUCAAUUGCUGAGCAAACAACGCCGUAACUGCCUUUGCCAAUAACUUCCUGAAUUUUAUACCUAUUGGCAUCACCAUAUUCAGAGAAAAAGUCCACCUCUGUCGAAUUCUGAAGCACAAGAUUCCACGUUAGAUGAGUUACACAUACAGAUAUGCAUGCAUUUUAUGUUCUGAGUGUGUCUGUAUGUAUGUAUACUUGGGUUUGUACGUAUGGAACCUUAUUAACUAUUAAUUUAUGAAACUAAAGUACUAAACACAGAGCAAUGGAAAUUUUAUAUUUAGCAUAAGAUUCACAUCACAUUUUUUGCCAUUAUAUUCUUUUAUUAUAUCCAACUGAACAGUGUAUGUGUUACUAAAGAAUGUCAAAUCAAGAGUUAUUACAGUCAUGCCCAAUGUUAUUUAGCACUUAAAGGACUUGAAGAAUGUCUAUUUAACAAAGCAAUGGUAAACCUUUAGUAGUAUCAUUUUACUUAAUGAAAACUAUAAUCAUGCUAUCCAUAUUGAAAACUGUACAGACAUAAAUGUUUCUCAACUUUUAAUUUAAAAAGGCCAUGGUAUGAAAUACAUGGGAAAAAGAAGAACAAAGGGCAUUCUAACAAGAAUAAUUGAAUGGAUAAUUCCCUUUGUUAUUACUAAAAGGUAACCAUAAGACCAUAUCAAGAUUGGAAGUUUUCUCUGUUGCAACAAAUUUCAAUUUAUUUUCCAAAGAGGUCCACUCCACAUCAUCUAAAAGUCCUUGUAGACAAUUGCAAUAGCAGGAAAUAACAAUUGGAGCUCAUAAAAAACACAUAAAGCAAAUGGCACCGCUUAUGAAAAGACCAAAACACACAAAAAAAUAUUUCAGAUGUACUAAGAUAAGGAAAUAAAAAAUGAAUUUAACUAGAUAGACUGAGUUCUUAAGAGCUUAAGUAUCCUAAACUAAGACCCAUCAAAUCUAGAUACACUGAGUACUCACAAGCUUAAGCAUCCUGAACGAAGACCCACCAAAUCCCAUUAUCACAUAUCACUAAUAUCGGUAGCGGAGAAUUACAAAUUUUCUAAUUUCUCCUCCAUAUCAGGAAGGAUCACUGAAAAGGAAAACUAUAAUGCAAAGGAACAAGUAGCUACGUCAAACCAAAAUGCAAUCAAACCUUCUUCGGGUGAUCUUGCUGCAUUUUGUUUUCCUUUUCCGUUUAAAAAUUUCCAAACUUAACAAUCGUUUGUCCUAACGACGAUCUGCUUUGGCCAGUUGAGAUAAAAACAAACCAGAAAAAGAAAAAUAAAAAUAAACCUCAACAAUACAAUCAACAACAAAAGUAAUAAGAAGAAAGGAUCAGCCACAUUUGCCCCACCUACCCCUGCUCCUUAUGAACAGCCCACAAACCCACCCUAUUCUCCUCCUAGAAUCCUUCACCACCGUACAUAAAUUCCAAACCACCACCAAUUCCCUCAUACACUGCUCCACCUCCUCCGCCUCUUCCCAUAAUCCGACCACAAAAGCUCAUGAAGCAGCGACCGCCUUUGGACAAUCCAGUAACAAGAAGACUAACAACUCAAGCAUUUCCUUAACCUUUCGGCUUUACUUAGUGUGAAGAUCCAAAUAAAUUCAGGAACCCUAGACCAGAGUCGUUAUAGCCUUUUUUUUUCAAUCUUCAAGGAAGCUGUAACGUGUGGCUUUGAGUGCAGAAGCUGCAAGAUCUCAACACCGACAAGUGAGAGAGCCAGCGGCAGGGAGGCGUAUCACGUAUAGC
rnacentral:misc_RNA from 1 species